GACUGGAUAGCCUAGUGGUUAAAGGCAGCACAGCUAGCAUUGUGUUUUAGCUUACUUGCUGAGUUCCUAGGUUCAAAUCCUGGUCUGGUCA
rnacentral:tRNA from 1 species